rnacentral:snRNA from 1 species
AUGCUCACUUCAGCAGCACAUAAACUAAAAUUAGAAUUAGAAUGCUGCAGAGAAGAUUAGCAUGGACUCUGCACAAGGAUGACACGUAAAUUUGUGAAGCAUUCCAUAUUCAU